GCUCCUAUGGUUCGAGAAAAGAUGACGCCACAUUUAGCAUGGGACAGCCCUGUCUGGGUUCCGGGCGCCGUCGCUCACAGAGUUAAGCCAGUCUUGUGGCUGGGGAGCCCCCAGGGAAGGCAUGGGCCUGCAGGGACCAGGCCCUCUCCGCCCCAGAGCACCAAGGUCUGGGGUAAAAGAGGGGAUGAGAAGUGUGGCCGGGGAAGUGGAGUGUAGGCCCAACUCUUUUUGCCUUGUUUGACCAGCCUUGGCACUGCCCUCCGGCUCUCCAGGGGAAAAGCUGCAGUUCUGCUCUUGCAACACAAGGAGCAGACUGGAGAAUUUAGAUCUGCGUCACAGAGCUCAGAGAGAGAGAGAGAGAGAGGAGAGAGAGGAGAGAGGGGGAGAGAGAGCGAGCGCUCGUCGAUAGGUCUGCUAGCAACAGCCGUGCUGCAGCAGAGAGAGAGAGAAAUCAAGAAACAAGUCAUAGCAACACCGGGCACCAGGUUCUGCCAGCUCACUUGCCAAGGGCUCAGAAAUCUGCCGUGGCCGGAGGCCUCUGGGUGGCCUGGCUAAGGGGAUGACACGCAAGGUGGCACGGGCGGUUCCCGCGGGGAGGAGGUGGGGCCGCGGUGGGGGCAGGGGCGGGACAAGAGAUUUGGGGGCGACGGGGGACGGUUUAAUGGGACCAGUUUCUGGAACAUUCGGGACUGCGGCACCUCACGGCCGACCGGGAUCUGGGUCUGCGCAGGCGACGAUGGGUGGUCCGAUGGGCUUCAGGACUUGAUGGCGUAACCCCCUUCUUACCCCACGUACGUAUUUGCUGGGAUUGGGGGCCAUGUCUGCGUAUGUGGGUGCUCUGUCUUUCUCACCUUCUUUCUCGCUUUUGGCUAUUUUUUUUUUUCCUUUGAGGGAGGGUUUUUUCCACUUUAAUUUCUUUUCCUUUAGUGUCAGCUGCUCCAGCCUGACCGGGGCAGAGAAGAGAGGAGCAGACCGUCCCUGGCGGCCCACCUAACCUCCCAGCCUUUACCCCCAUUUCCUUCUACCAGACAGAUAGACGGACUGGUUUCCCAGGUUGUCUGGGUGUCAGCGUCUGUCUGUCCAUCUGUGUGGUUCUCAGGUGGAAGGUAGGGCGUGAGAAGUGCUGGGAGGAAGGCGAGGGGGGCGGCUUUCCAGGGGUUGCCUUGCUAAAACGUUCGGCCCUGGGGAUCUGGGUCUGGUGGGGAGCCCGUGGGCAGGAUGGGGCGUGGGCCGGGAGAAGCGGGGGCACGCGGGUAGGUUUGUCACUGCGUAGUUGGGGAAAGUGGGGACUGGUGACGCAGUCACUGUGGGAUCUUGUUAGGCGCUCUGGGGGGACAGGUAGUGGGGCUGCCGGGACCUAUAGGGCCAGCUGAGAGGGGUUAAGGAUGAGCUGAGAAGGGAAGCUAGCAUUUAGAGAUUAAAUGUCAUCCUUUUGGCGUUGGAAAGUUGUUUACCUUGCGCUCUCUGUGUCUCCAUGUUGGCACCCUUCCAGUUCACAUGUGAUGGCCUUCCUUGUACUGCUGCAUCAUUAACUAAGUGACUGAGCUGGCCUUCCAUUGGCCAGGGGAGGGCUCUCACGCCAGACACUUCCUCUGAUUGGUGGGCGGGCCAGUGGCAGGUGAAAACCUCUUUUUGAUUGGCUGAAGGCAGGGUAUCAAAUCUGAAUUUGCAUUUCACUUGCUUAAAGGGGAGGGGGAGAAGCCCAGCAGCCUUCUAAAAUCUGUUUAGGGGUGUGCGUAUGCUCCUGCGCGUAUGCUUUCUUCUGACUGACCAGUUGAAGCCUCUUCCUGUGCCUUUUUAAUUAUUUCAAGCGCUAUGAGGAAGAGGAGCCGAGAGCUCCCCAAACUUUUUUUUUGUUGUUGUUGUUGUUGGGGCGAAGGUUGAGGAGAUGGGAGCGCAGGGGGAUGACCAAACUGGAAGGAAAUAUUCGUUCUUUAGUUUGGUGUCAGAAAAGGGAAUUUUCCAAUCAGCCACACCUCAGUGUUGCGGCAAAAUAAUUCUUGGCUCCCCUGGAAACGCAUGGGCAAGGUAGGGCAGAGCUGCUGCUGCCACCACCCUCGGCUUCCUGCUGACUCUGGGCCACUCCCCGGGGACAAGAGAUUUGCAUUGACGUCCCGGGCUGUCCAGAGCUGAGCCCAUUAUGGGAGGACCUGCCUUCUGGAAGCUGCUGCUCCCUGGUGCUCAGAAAGGUACCACGUCGGGCUCGUUCACAGCGGCUGUUUCAUUUGUGCCUCAUCCCACCCCUGCGAGGAGCGGGCCGUGGCCGAGAACUCCGAGGAGCUCAGCUCUGCGAGUAGGUGACGCCCUCUCGGAGACACAGGCUCAGCCGCUGGUGGUGCUGGUGUGCGGGCCAUCGUGUGGGAUGAAUGGGCGCCCGUUUGCAUGUAUUUGGAACAAAAAGAAGGAGAUGCCUGGCAGCCUGGCGCUCUGCAAUGCUGGUAGAUUAUUCAGAACCAUGUGGAUGAGGGCGCCGAUGCAGGUGAGCGCCAGGAGGGGCUGGGGCCGCGUGGACACUGGGUUUGAGGCGAGGCCGGGCGCACUGCGGCUGGCAGCGCCGUGUGGCUGUGGGGUAUCUUCCCGGGUCCCUGUUUGCCUAGCUCUGCCCCGGGGUGUCCUCUGGCCUCUCUUCUUUCUUUGGACCUCCUGUCCCCCUGCCCUCCUCCAGCCUCGCUUUGAGUUUCUGGAGGAUGUGUGCGGUGUGGUCAUCCGGAGCUUGUCUGCUCUCCGCCCUCCCUCACGUUGGGGGUUUCUGGAAAUCUGGCUUGACUGGCAGUGUCGUGCUGGGAGGGACAGGGUUUUGGCCUCCUCCCUUUCGGGGGGCGGUGUUGAGCCCCCCUUUUGUGCGGCUCAGGUACCGAUGGAUGUGACGUGGUCCCGGUCUUGUGAGCGAACCAUCACCAGGCUGCUUAUUGGAAACCACGCGCAGCCAGGACCAUCAGGGCGCACCUGCCCUGCCUCCCAGGUGAGCAGGUGCGCAUCGCCCGUUCCAGCCCGCCCCCGCCCCUGCCCUUCACGUGGGGGGUGUCGGCCUUAUUCAGGCGGCAGCCCUCAGAGCUCUCCAUUCACAGUCUCCCAGACAAUCGCUCUCUUCUUUCCAUUUCUCCUCCUCCUGGCUUUUCUGUGAAUGGGUUAGUAGCCAGCGAAGGCCCAGGGCAGCCCAGUGACUGGGCCCUGGACGUGUGGGAGACGGCAGGGUGGCGGGGUAUGCUCUCCCUGGCCCCCCGCCUCUCGCAGGAGGUUCUGGAUGCUGACCCCUCAGAGGAACCGGGAGUCUGCCCGGGAACGGGGCCUUCUCGUCCCUGUGGCGUCUCCUGUUCUAGAAGCUUUUAGUCUCGUGGGGUCUUAGCCUAGGGCUGUGGUCUGGCGCGGAUAGACUCUGGGCUGCGCAGUGGACUUGGGGCUCUUUCAGUAGUUUGGGUAUUUUUUUUUUUAAGGGAGUGGCUUUUUUCCUCUAUGCCCUCAUUGCCUUUACUUAAAAGAAAAUUUCUGGCCCAGUGAGAGCCAUGGCAAAGCAUCUCCAGGCAGGUGACGUAGAAAGGGGUUUUUUCUCUUUUUUUCCUCUGCCUCACUUGAUGGCUGGUCACAAUAACAGCAACGGUGAUUGAAGACGCUGAGGGCCUGCCGAAUGCGGGGGUCUGUCGCGUUACGGAGACGGGGCACAGAGCAGACUGUGGGCGCGUCCACGUCCCCAGGAACUCUUUCUCCUGUCAGGUAGGCCCCUGCCCGCUUCUGGACCACAUUCUGGUAGGGCUGGGGGCAGUGAGCUGACGGCAGGUUUAUCUGGGGUCUAAGGAUAAAAGGGGAUAGGACUGGGUAGUUCGAUGGUGCCCUUGGCUAAUUUUAGGGGUACCCUUGGGAUCCCAGCUUUCUGCAAGUGCCUCGUGCAAGCGGGCGUUGCCCCCGCCCCACCUCCGGGGAAACUCUGGUGCAUUUCCCCCCCAGUGCUUUGCCUUCUCCCCUCCCAUCAGAGACGAGGCUCAGAGUUGGCUCUGAGGAGCCUGAGAUCCCCGCCCCGUGAGGAAGCCAGGGCCCUUUGGAAGGGACUGAUGUCUCUUCCUUCAAGGAAUUUGAUGAGACUCAGCCCCUCCAGCAGUCCCACGGGGGGACGGCCAGGGGUGUUGGACCUGGACCGUGAAUAAAGAGGAGAGACCAGCUUUGCUGCAGCUGGGGACGUGGAGAGGAGCCGGCCAAGUCCCUCAAGAUGUGUCGGCGAGAGCCUGGCCAGCACUGGCUGUGGGGCUGGACCCAGAUGGAGCUGCUGGCCCUGCUCAGGAGCCCAUGGCCCUGCUCAGGAGCCUCUGCUCCCCCGAGCUGCGCGUCCCCAGACCUGGCUCGGCAGCUGCCGCCCUCCUCCACGGCCCUGCCCUUGGCUGGAUGGAGAGCACCGGGGAGCAGCGCACGGGGAGGCUGGCCUUGGCCUCGAGCUGCAGCUGUCUCUCCAGCCUCUGGUGCUCCCAGGAUUGGGGCUGGUGCUCCCAGGAUUGGGACUGGUACUCGCCUGCUCGUUUCCCCAGCUCGGCCCCUCCCAUUCUCUCCUUCCUGCUCCGCAGCCUGGCUUCUCCUGACAUGGCAUGGAGCGUGGCCUGUCAGAAGGUCGGGUAGCAGAACAGGCAGAGCCCUGAGAGGAGCUGGACGGAGGCUGGCGCUUCUUUCUUGACCUUUGAUCUCUGCGGUCUGGGGGCCAGGAGGCAGAGUGGGGCCUUUCCAGCUGGGGUCCGCCGGAGGUUAGCAGAGCUGGGAGCCCCGGAGCCGACGGUGGGGCCCUGCCGGGAGGCCGGGGAGGGAGGGGCUCUGCCAGGGGAUCUGAUUGGUCAGCAGCUUCUUAUUCCACUGGAUCCUGGUCAGGUCAGGGCUAUGAAUUGUUUAAUGCGUAUCUUGCCCUGGCCCCUGGCGCGAGUGCCCCGAGGCUGCAGCCGCAGCUGUAGAGAGGCUCUGUACCUCGGGCUGGUCACUUUUUGGGGCACGUCGCCUCCCUCUGAAGUAUGGGAGAGCGAGUGCCUUUUGCGCUCGCCGGCUGUCUGUGGGAGGCCCUCGUCCUGCAUUGCUUUUCUGGGACGUGGAGUGUCUGGUGAGGGAAGCGCAGACUGGGCUGGGUUUCGCGCUAGCUCCUUCCCCAGGAGCUGCUCGUGGGCUGACGAGGCCAGCGAACGCCUCCAGGCCCCAGGCCUAUGGGAGCCUGAUGCAAUAGCGGGGAGCCUGGGCGGGGGAGGAGGGGGCUGAGGAUGGAGAGAGCCACGCCGGGAGAUGGCUGUACAGCGUCUGACCACAGGAUCAAGGCCAGCAGGGGUAGGAGGAUGUGUCCAGUGUCCAGCGAGGGCUGCCCGCUGUGGCUGAGUGGACACGGGUGUGCAUGGAGCCCAGAUCGGGGUCUGUAACGCGGCCCGAAGGCCCGAGACAGGCAGCGGAGCUCUCCGCCUGCCACCCAGGGCGAGGGGGACUGACCUUAGUUAAGAAGGCUCCCCUUGCUUAUUUGAUCCCUCUUCAGAAGAACUGCAUAAAGGAGCUGUUACUUCCCUUUUAUGGUUAAAGACGCUGUGAUUAUUACGUGACUUCACCGAGAUCACACACUCGGUAGGUGGCAUGGUUGAGGUUGAAACUCAGAUGCUUCUGAUUCCAAAGUCUGUGCCGUUUCUUCACCGUCUGUGGCUGAAGUCAGACAUUGCGGGAGCCAAGACCCUCAGGGGGUGGGCAGCCAAGCCAGCUGACGGGACCCAGAGUGAAAGGCCAGGGCCCGGGGGGCUUUGCAGUCACAGAGUCGGAGUUGGAGGCACCACGUCUGUUUCUGCGGAGGCAGGGCCCCGCUGGGAUCCGUGGACACGUAGGCAGAUGCAUCCCUUCUCCACGUGUGUCUUCAGUCUCUGCGGUGUCUCAGCCGGGGCCAGCGAAGGCCAGUUUCUGCUCCUGGGCAGGUAGGUGCUCGUGCGGGGAGAGGUCGUUAAUAAGAACAGAGAAUCAACAGUAGAGCAGACGAGGUGGAAGAGAAGGACACCCCUGCCUACGAAGGGGGCCCAGGUGUUGGUCAGGAUGGGGAGCUGAGACCGGGAGGACCUGGGCCACCUGGGCAAAAGCCAUGCUGAUCGAGCCUCCAACGUGAGCUGACGCAGAUGCUCCCCCCACGCUUUUUCUAACAGCCGGGAAAGCCCACCCGAGGCCGCGUAGCUCAUGGGCCCUUGCGGUGAGUCAGGAAUCGAGGUGGCAGUAACCGUCGAAGCGCUGGUCUCCGGCAGAGCGGGGUUCCUUCCCUUCGCCGUGGCUGCCCUGCUCUUACACCUCCCACCCUCCCCAGGUGCCAGCUGGCCCUCUCCCGCAGCCUGGUCACCGUGCCCCUCUCUCGUCCCCGCAGCCCAGGGGGACACUCAGGUUCGGUCUUUGCCAAGUCACUAGUAAAACUCGUGCCAGCUCGGCCUCUCCUGCCGGAACACGUCGUUCCAGAUUAUUGUGCCACAGGGAGGGGACAGGAGGAGGGCGGGGAGGAGGGUCCCCUUGCGUGGGACUCUUGGACCAGCUUGGUGUCUCGAGAGUUGAGGCAGGUUGGUGGCUGCAGACGGGGAAGGGGACGUUUCCUGUGGGCAGCUCAGGGCUCAGGACUUGUGCCCUGUUUGGAGGGCAGCGGCUGCCGGGCCCAGGGUGCGCCAGCCCCUGCGACUCUCCCGCUUCAGCAUCCCAGGCCUGACACCUGGCCCACCCCGGCCACGGAGGCUGCCGCUUGCUGCCGGCGGGCUGAUGCUGCACAGGCACAGGGACAGGAUGCGGGUCUCAGCAGUGGGCGGUGGGGGGGUGGGAGUGGCAGGGAGCAUUCAGACGAGUUGGCAGGCCUGGGUUCUGGCUCCCUUGGCACACACCCGCUCCCUUUGCCUCUUGGACCUCAGUUUCACUCUCUCUAAAGCAAGAGUGGACGGAAUCAUCUUGGAGGCCUGCUCACGCCGGCGUGGGGCUCCCUGGAUGGGCUUGCGGCUGAUUCUUAGCUAGAAACGCGGGAUGAGGGAAGAACCUAGGUCUGAGGUACAGGAAGCAGGCGUGGGGGGACUCUGAAGACCCCUCCGAGAGCAGCUGUGCGCCUGUCUUCCGAAGGGACACUGUUGGCAUAAAUUAGGGCGCGCGGGUGGAGACAGCUUUUGAAGGACCCCUGCCCCCCAGAAGUGAGUGGAGAGAGUGAAGGUAGCGUGAAGGUGGCAGACAGCGAGCCUCCGUCUCCCACCAAAAGGCUCGUCUGGAGCUGGGCCCUGUGGGAGCUGCUGGGGACCUGCUGUGCUCCAGGAAAGACAUGCCGUCCUACUGGCCCUAAAUCCUGGCUGGAACUCGGGACUGCAGGGCCCUGUGUCCUGCCUCCCCUGAGGCAUCCCUUCAGGGUCUCUGCCCCUUUGCCAACAGGCAGUUUCCCUGUAUGUGUAGCCUUCCUUUGCCGUGUGGUUGUUUGAGUCCUUCUAUUACAACAAAAAAAGACAAGAGAAGAAAACAGAAAUAUCUCGGAGCCACCAAUUCCAUUUUGGCUUUUUAGUCUUGAGGCAGUCUCUAUUUAGUAUUAAUUUUUUUUUUCUUUUUUGGCCCCACCCGUGGCAUGCAGAGGUCCCUGGACCAGGGACUGAACCCCCGCGCCACAGCAGUGACAACGCUGGAGCCUUCACCUUCCACACCACCAGGAGCUCCUUGAGGUACUCUUUAAAAGACAGCAAACCUGAAGCACACACAGCAGAGCCCAGGGUCCCAGGCCCUUCUGGCUGUUACACAAGGCCCGGCUUGGGCCAGGGGUGGCGGGGCCCUGGCCCCGCUUCUCCCUGGCAGCUCAGGGCCUGCUGUCCACUCUGUGUGGGUAGGAGCCCUGAGGCUGGGGCACAUACCGUGCAAUGCACUAGACAGAUCGCAGAGCUUUAAAAAUAGCUGCGUUCCUCCAUGAUGCUCUCUGCUCGCCCCUCUGCUGGACACUGAGCUGGACUCAUAACUCUGAGUCCAGCCCCGCCCCCCCCACCCCCCGCACCUCCAGGCUAGUGUGGGGAGCAGGGAUUUGGGCUGGGCCGCAGGCUGGAGAGGAAUCAACUAGCAACCAUCGUCUCCCCGCACCCCGUGUGAUGUUUCGUGGUUCUUUUCACGUUUGCCAGCUCUUGUGGUCCCUACACAGUGCUCUGGGGACAAGGGGUAGCAUUAGCCCUGUAGCUGAUGAGACCGAGCCAGAGAGAAUCCUGCCAGGAUCUAACUGCUUGUACCUACUUAAUUUGGGACACCUGCCCAGGUCCCCUGACUCUGGUUGUCAUGUCCUUGGGUUCGAAUUGUGUUCCUCCUUGACCGUGGGGCAGGGCAGGGAUGGGGGCGGGUCCUGGGCCAUUGACCUGACCUCUCCAGGCCUUUGGGUCCCUUCUCUAUAUUAGCGAAGGGGCGCCUCAGAAUAUCUGGGUUCUCCUGUUAUCCGCUCUUUCAACUUCUGGGUGCUCUUGUGAAAACUGGCUUGCAGUCCUCGGCUGGGAAUCCAGCCAUUCACUGUGCGUAUCUGGUGAGGUUUCCUACCUUUGAAACUUCUCGAAUACGGCUGCUUCAUUCUGACCCAUCUGGGUGGCACGUCAUGCGUGUGUGCACACGGUCCUGUUUCCGCUGAGUAGCCCUCUUAGAAAUGAGCCUCAUCGCGAGGUCCUCGAGAUUUUUCCAUCAGAUUUUUAAAGUACGCCCAGAGCCUGGCCCAGGAUGUACCUUGUGUGUAUGUUACAUGUCAGUUAGCUGCUUGACACUCAGAACCUGCUGCAAGAAUUGGCUCACGUACACUGGAAAGUAAGAUACUGCAAACACUGGCCUCAGCUCUGGUUGUUUGCAUCAUGACUGGCGAGAAGAAGUGGGCCGUUCCCGUGGACAGGAAGGUGGGCCGGAGUGGUCUCGGGGGCCAGUGUUCCCUCCCUCUCCGAGGGGUGCUGAGGCAGAGCGGCGGCCACCGGGCUCCUUGGCUGGGUGGCCCUCUGCGUGAUCGUCAUCCGUAGACCCGAACUCCUGGGUGGGAGAAAGUGUUCGUUUGCAGCACCUUUAGCCGUGGUGGCUUAGGCUUCAUCCCUUAGCCUCAUGGUGUCCCUUGCGGAGGGACUGGGGUCGGACAGGGGCAGCGUACGUGUCUGCAGACGUCCACCCACUCGUCUGCCUGGAGCGCAGCCUCAGCUCGUAGAGCGGCCCCGUGAUGGGGAGGCCACCUGGGAACUGCUCCGGGGCUGCCGCCUUCAGCAACUGUGCGUGUGAAGAGGUGGCACAUCCGACGCUGUUCACCUGGAGGUGGGGACGAGGGUGGCUGGACCUGCUGCCGGGCGGGUGACAUUGGCUGGACUUCAGGGACAACUGUGGCGUCUCCUUGGCUGCAGGCUUCCGGAAGAGGAGACUUCUGUAUCUGAGAAAGGGAGCCUGGGCAUCCCGGACAGGGUCCUUCCAGACCUGAGUCCGAGGCCACCACAGAGCAGCACGAGGCGUGGGAGCCGGGAUCUGGCUGGGGCUCCGUCUUUCCUUUCUGUCCCUGAGGCAAGCCUGAGCCCGGGCUGGGCUCCUCGUGAGCGCUGUUUCUCUCGCAGAGAGAAACGUCUUGACCUGACCCUCUAGGACGGGUAGGGUUGCAGACAAGCAGGGGAGACAGCACACCGCCCUCGUCCCUGCCAGGAAGGAGCCCCGAGUGGCUCUGAUCCUGCAUUUGCAUCAGCACCGCCGCCAGCCCUGCCGACUCCUUCCAGUCGUAGGGACCUUUGACAGACACGUGAGACGUGAGGGAGAGUGUGUAUGGUGGGGGGUGGGGGGGCAGAACAGGAGGCUCCCCGGGCAGAGCCGGAGGUCGUUGGCUGGGAAAAGGCCGGAGAUGGAAGGUGACAGUCUCGGGGCAGGGGCGUCCCUCGCUCUGGCCCCCCCAGCAUUGCGGGUGUGUGUCGAAAUGGGCACACUCUUUAGUGUGACCCUGGGCCAAGAUCAAGCAGCUCGUCACCAAGUGAAGGUUGUAUGAAAUACAGAAAGUCGCACAUCCUUCCGUCUCACGCUGCCUGCGGAUUUAGCAUCUAAAGGCGGGCCAGGUGGGAAACCCUUCCCUGGGCGCCCCUGUGUGUCACGUCUCGCUUCUUUUCCCUCUUUCACUCUAUCUCCUUUCUUUUCUGCUCCCCGCUCUCACUCCCUGCGCAGGUACACGGGAGCGCUUGUCCUUGGGUUUGUCUGUGUUGUCGUGUCUUGGGGUACAGCUCUUCCAGUGCCUCUGACGUGGCGGAAUGGCUUACCUUUACGUCCGAUGUGAACAGAGCCCAGGCUCGCUGCAGAGGUGAGAGACGUCUCUGCGAGGGCGCAGCUCCCCACCUGGUCCUGGGGCGGGUCGUGCAGACCCCUCAGGAGAUGGAACUCGAGGGUGACCUCGCGGGGCCAGCUCGGCGCCCGUCAUGCCUCCUCUCUGGGUGGGGUUGCCCACCCCUCAAUCCCACAGCCCUGUGAGCCGUUUCUUCUUCUCAGCUUGAACCCUGAGAAGUGGCCUUGAACAUCUGAGACCACACGUCCCCUGCCAGGUGAACAGGAGGCCGCGAGGGAAGAGAGGGCCUGGGAUGGGGAAGAAGGGAACACGGGCUUCUGGCCGCUGGCCUCUCUCCAAGACAGGUGGACUCUGCGUUCAGAAAGGAGCUCAUUUCAUCUCUCAGCCCUAAGUGGCCGCUAUUUGCGUUUUCUCUCCUUCUCGCUUUCCCUCCUCCCUCUCCCUCGCUCCCUCCCCACCCCCACCCUGGCCUCCAAAAGAAUUUAAUCUGCUGGACAACAAACAAUACUGUUAUAAAACUUUGAAAACAAGAGGGCGAGGCCUCCCUGACAAGGAGAAGGGCAUGCCGGGUAAGAGCCCAGGGAGUCUGCCAGGCCCGAGAAGGAGCCAGGCCAGAGCCCAGUGGGCUGGGCACCUGGGCGCCCGCCCCCUGCCCAGCCCACCAGCCGUGCCAUCCCCGGUCCAGAGGGGAAGGAACCGAAACCAAAGUCUUGGGGCGAGAAGCGCUCGAAAAGGGGAAGUGGUGCGUGUUCCCCUCGAACCAAUCUGGUGGGAAUGCACUAGACUGUGAAGCUCUCCCCCCCCCCCCCCCGCUCCUUCUCCCCCCUCCCUCCUCUCCCUGCCUCCUCCCUCCGCUCCCUGUUCCAGGUCCUGAGACUGGCAGGCAGAGGUCCUGAUAACAGAGCGAGGCUGGCACAGCUGUGUAGGUACAGCCGGCCGGGCCGGCUGCAGGGGAAGCAGGAGAGAAAGGGGUUCCGAGUUGGCCUCAGCUUCCAGACCUGCCCUCUGUCCACCCAGCCUCCCUUCCCCCCACCUGGGGAAGUGGAACCAGGUCACGGGGCGGGGUGGGGCGGGCCCGGGUCCACGUGCUUCUCCAGGUGUGUCCCCAGGUACCGGGUAGAACUGCGGCUGGGAGGUUAGUGGGUACGUGCCAGGCUUCCUGGUGCCCGCCAGGGGCCGUGCUCCCCGGAGGAUGUGACCCGAGGAGAGGCUCUGCUCCCCUUCCAGAAGGGCUGGGAGAUGUGCCUGUGGCCAGGCACACCUCUGGAAAGGCUCCUGGGGACAGAAACCUGCUUCUCCCACCAACAGGUGUGCGGUCCUUUGAGUGGGGCUCCUGGUGGGAUCUUGCACCUGCGAGUGACUCGUGGUGGCGGAAGGAGGGGGUGACCCAGCCCUGCCUGGGAAGAUGGGGAAGCUGGGCUCUGGGCAUCUCUCCCCCAGUGUCCAGAGUUAGACCUCAACUGAGCCUAAAGUGUCACUUCCGAGUCCAGCUUCCUUGGGUCAAGUGGAUGCUUUGAGGGAAGGGGAGCAGUGUUGGUGGUUCUCCUUCAGAUCUGCCUUGCUUUGGACCCGUGAACUGCGGUGAGCGCUGUGCGUGUGUGUGCGUGUGUCUGUGCGCCCGUGGUAGACCUGGGCACACUCCCUCUCCCACUUGUGGAAAAGCACCCCCUCCCUGAGAGUAGGUCAGGGCUGUGCCCACCUUCUGCCUGGGUUCAGCCAUGCAUGAGGAGCGGGGAGGCAGCCUGGAUCCUGUCUUCACCCCCUGCCUCUUCCUCCCCUUCGCUGCCACCUCUCCUGCCGCCCUCCCAGGCCCCGCGGCAUCCCCCGGGCAGGGUACGCACGUGCCCCCUCCUGGCCAGCCGGCCAUCCCGACGAGGGCCUCUCUGCCCGUCCUGCGUCUGGGGGGUCGCGACACCUCCAAACCCAGGUUUUUGCUGGUGGUGCAGAGGAAGGGCUGGAGGGCUCCAUGCUCCUGCCCCGAGAAGAAUCAGGAUUUUGCUGACACGGGGCCUCCGAGGAAGCCGAGGCGGUGGUGACUUUUUGCCCCGUUACCGCGACAGGCAUUUGGGGGUUUCACUGCAUCUGGAGCGUGUCAUCCCCACUUUGGGAUCCGGGGCCUGGGACGUGUGGCAAUCCCUGGAGGCUGAGCCCCGCUCUGGGUGGGGCAGGGGGCCCCCGGCUCCGGCCUGAAAGAGCCAGCUCCCCGUUCCCCCCACCCAGCCCCCUACACACAGAUCGUUCAUUUUAUCACCCUUUCCUCUGAUUCAUUCGCCGCAGCUCGUUGGCAGCAGGCCCCACCCUGACAGCUCAGGACAAAGCAUGCGGGGCCCUGGGCUGGGGCUGAGGGACACGAAGCUGGGCCAGGCCUCUCGGUGCAAAGCACAAUGGUCUGGGGCGCACACAAGGGCACACCCCUGGUCCCCUUUUUCGAAAGGGCCUUCUCUGGCCCCUCUCUCCCCCGGAUGACUCUUCCUCGCUACCAGGAGCCCCGAAACCAGCAUUCCCAGUGGCAGGAAGAUGGAUGACCAGGCUCCACUUCCCCGGCUCCUCCCCCGCUCUGGCUGGAACUUGCGUCAGGCCCAUAAGUCGCUGUGACUCAGCACCCAGCCGGUGGGGAGGGAGGGAGAAGCUGCUGCCUCGCAGGAACCUUCCUGGCGUUCUGGAUUUGAACACACGGUGGUAGCGCAGAACCAGCCAGCAGCAUUAUGUUCUCAGAGGCCAAUAUCUGUUUGUUCUGUGGGUUUGCACACGGAUUUCACAAACAAGGGUUCACUUCCUUCUUGCUUUCCUUCUGUGUUAUUUGGGGGUGGGGUGGCACCACGCGGGCCAUCAGAUUUUGGGGACUUGAAACGACACAGACGGCGUCGUUUCUAGGCUGCAGGAGAAGCUCUCCUUGCCAUCUAGAUUCGUGUUUAACCCCCAGAUGUUUGGUUUCCUUUUUAAAAUCGUGUCAGACUCUGCAUGCCUUUAGACAAAACAUGGCCCAUCCGGGUCACUUAUUUCUGUUGCACGUUGUUGCUGCUUCUGUGUCUUCAGCUUCCUGCCCGACCCCUCUGUGCAUUUGAACAUGUCGUGACGGGCCUGUGCCAGCCCCGCUCUUUCGGGAUGGACACUCCCAGGCCCGUUCCAGGAAAGCACAGGCCAGUCCCCGGAGCCCGGGCUGAGCAGGAGUCCAGCUUGCUGUGUUCCAACCCCCUGUGCAGGUCAGGGGGAACCUUUCCUCCACCCUUGGGUCCCUGCCCAGGCGGAGCAGUGGAAAAACCUCCAAAGAAAAUAUGGGCAUAGAAGUAGCCUUGGGUGACACUGUGGCCCCCAGACCCUCUUCCUGCCCAGCGGUACCUGCAACGCUGACACAGCUGCUCAUCGGGGGUGACUUCCCUCGUGGGCAGCCUCUCCCCCGUGGGUCAGCUCGGAUGGCGCUGCCAGGCUCCGGCCGGAGGAUCCUGCCCCUGCCUUUGCCAGCAGAGCCCUGGGGGGGCCGGGGCUGCUGCUUCCAGAUCAGGGUGACCCUCAGGGUGGGUGCCAAGAAGAGCAAGCCGCUUCCAGCUGCUCCUCACCACCUGGCCACACGCAACUAGGGAACAAAUGCAGCCGCUGGUUUCGGGUGAGUCACUGCUCGGCUGACUUGGAGAGAGAAGCCUGGUGCUGUUGGGGGGCUGCGACCGCAGCAGACCCUUUUAUCCGGGGGACUGGAGGGUAGAAGCUUCGGGUCCUAAGAUGCCUCCCCCCACCCCCCUUCUUUUGGAAUGUUUACAAUGAUGCAUUCUUAAUGACUUUUGUCUCUUCUUCCAGAGAACCAGGAGCAUUUUAGAACUCAAGAGUAGGGCGCCCAAACUCUGGUUCCUGUCUCUAAGCUCCCUGGGCGCAGCCUCCCCUCUGGACUCAGGGCGGACGCUUCCUGGGUGGCAGGGGAGACGUGACCGGACGACCUCGGUAUGCUCUGAAGGAAAAGCAGCGUCACCAAGAGCCAGCCCAGACCGGGAGCUCUCCCAGGACAGGCUGGCUGGGCGAGACCUGGAGGCGGCUCCAGGCCACCAGGCUUCCUUGGGGGAGGGGCUGGGGGAGGGCUGGUGUCACGGGAGAGUGGAUGCAGAGCAUCCCAGGACGAGGGAACCGCAUGUGCCAAGGCCUCGCGGUGGAGGAGGAGGCGGCAGCCUGGAUCAUCCAGCGACUCCUGGGACCACAUCUUAGGAUAGGGUUUGUGGGGAGUGGCAGUUGGGCAUUGCCAAGGCAGGAGUUUGGCUGACGUGCCGAGCAGGAAAGCUGGGAGUGCCCAAAUGCCGCUCUCCGACCCCCUCGUGUCUGUAGGAGUCAGGCCCUACCGCAAAACAGUCAUUAGCCCUCACUCCCGACCCUCAAGCCUUAGCAGUCACCUGAUCCACAACCGCUCCUGCCCUGCUGAUGGCAGGUGUCCUCACUCUGAGCCCUGCAGGCAGUGCCCACCCCCAGCCCCAGUUCUCUUAUCUGUGACCAGGACCUCGCCAAACACCAGGGGCUGCAGAGCUCAGCGUGGAUGUCAGGAUCCCUCAGGCGUGCAGCCCCAGCGCAGCAGGGCGUUCAUCCCAGAGGCUUCCCCACUCCUGCAGCCGCGUGGUGGAGACGGCAGAGGCGCCAGAGGUGCAGGAGAACAAGCACGUACCAAAGCCCCCGGCCCUGGCAGGACCAGGCGUGCGUCCACCUCCGCGGGGGUUUAACAGGUUGUGCGGUCAGCAGCGUCCCCUUCCACGCAGAGCUUUGUAACUCUCCUCUGUGCCUGCACAUGGAUCCACAUUUCUGCCCGGUCACCAGUGGAACUGCAAGAAGAUAGUUCUGCUCGAGACAGAGGCUGGGCCUGCCCAUCUCAUCUCCCUUCUUUCUUCAGUGACACCCUCUUCUUCUGGAAGCUGGUUUCACAUGGUGGCUUAGAUUUUUCCAUCUUUGUAUCUAGCACCAUUUGAAAUCAGUGUUUUAGGAGUAAGAAUUGCAGCACAGCCAAAGGCCAACUGCAGAGGAGCAGCUGUUCUGGGACCAGCUCCCCCCGCCUCCUCCACCUGAGCCGGUUCAAGAAAGGAAGAGCCGGAGCAGCGCAGCACACGCUCGAGUGUGUCGGGCGGUGCAGGGGGACAGUGCAGGGUGGGAAUCGUUCAAAGGAAACGCAGGGGCUUGAGCAGGGCCGGGGCUUGCGAAGGUCUUCGUGUGCACAGGUAGCAGCAGCCACCAGCCGUAAGCCGCUGGUCAGACGUGUGCGCGCGUGGGUGGGCCGUGCUGAGCUGGGUGCUCCACGGCCGCAGGGACGGGAAGGCUGUGUCCCGGGAGGAUUGUCGCGUCGCAGCCACAGUGUCCUCCGGCUCCUAGCUGCCUGGAACCUUCAGCUGCAGGUUCCGCACAGCUGAAAUCGGACCUGCCUCCUGCAGUGCCACGGUGCUGGACCCCACCGAGCCCCGCUGGACCCAUCUCUUACACAGGCUGACCGAUUUCUCCUGGUGUUCAGAGUCUGUUUUUGUCUAGCACCAUUUGAAAUCGGUUAUGAUGUAGGGGGAAAAGCAGCAGCUUCGAGGCCUCACGCCACGUCUGGUCGGCGCAGCCUGUGGCUCCUGGAAGAUGGAUGGGCAGAGAGAAGGGAAGGAAGAUCACGCUUCUUCCUACUAACUUCUUUAACUACAUCUACAGGGCUUUGCGCAGGAGUAAUAGAUCAUGAGAUGGGUUUUUGAAAACAAAUCCGUAGUAUACCUGAUGCCCUCGGUUUGCUGAAGGGUGACUGUGCUAUAAACUCUAUAGAUUGGUUGCUGUUGAAUUAUCUGUUAAAUCUGUUCAUGCAUCGUAACCUUAAUAAAUGUUCUACUGUAUUCAAUUUA